AACUUUUUUCCGAAAGAAAUCCCAAUCGACACAAUAAAAUUUCCAAAUAUUCAGAACCCUAAAAUUUCAUUUUUUUUCCUCUCCCACACAAAUCUGAUUUUCACAAUCUUUGCCCAAUCUCACUCUCUCCCACACAAAUCUCAAUCACAAUACCUAAUCCCAGAUCUAAAAUUCUAUGUUCUUUCAAACCAAAACACUGUAAUCCAUCUUCCUCUUUUGCUCAAUUGUUGUUGAUUCUUCCUGUAAAUCGGUUGCUCUCACUUAAACGUCAUUUUAUAACCAACCCUCUUGAGAGACUAGACUCAUCUCAUCUCUCUCACAAAACAGAAGGAAGAAGAAGGAAUCUUUGUUUUCUCUUAUUCCUCUUCUCUCCUCCUUCUACUUUCGAUAAAUUUUGAAUAUCUUUCUUCUCUACGAGUGUGUCUAAUUCGACUAUUUCGAUUUUCUUGAUUUCGGUAUAAAGAAGAAAGGCGGGUAUCAAGGAAACACUCCGGCGGAUCCUCCGGCGUUUAAUGGAUCAAAACAACUCGCGGCUCCGACCAAGACUGUUGACAGCCAAUCUGUUCUCUAAAGGCUGCAGUCUGAAUUGAUGGGCUUGAUGAUGGGCGUGGUGGUCCAGGGAUAUCUGCGUUUCCAGAGGAAGACAACAUCUUCUGCUGGAAAGGGACGAUAACAGGAAGCUAUUGGCAGGGAG